GCCCCACCCGGACGCCGCCGCCGCCGCCAUCUUCCCCAAUCCCAGCCUGCCACCACCCGGAACCGGAAACGCCCGCUCCGCCAUUUUGGGAGCUGACGGCGUUCACGUUCACCACGAAGAACACCGGCUCAGCUGCAGCCACAGUAUCCCACGCCCAACCAGGAUUUCCAAAUUCAGCUUUUCGUCUGUUGUACUGCAGCCGAGUUGCGAGCAGUUGUGCUCCUUCAGGACAGCAGCCCUCAGCCUGCCCAGCAGCUAAACGUGCCUGUAACACACACACACUCAGCAGCUACAAUGAAGCAAAAAGCUUAUAAAUGCUGACGGAGCAGUUGACUAACACACGGGUUUGCAUUCCCUUAAGGACCGAGAUUCCAGUCCCACAGCUGCGGUACUUACAGUCACCCAGAUUUCCACGAGGCACGUUGCACUCCUCUCUAAAUAAAUCAGGCUGUUACUCCAAGCCGCUGUUGCUGUCAAGACACCAACAUAUUUUAUUGCAUUGUCAACAUCUAGAAUAUUAUGUGAGUGUGACGUCUCCUUUUCACGAUACAUUCCCAAAUAGAACAUAAAGGAUCCGUGAGACACGCAACUUGUGUUGAAUAAUAGCUAAAUGACCGUCCAAAUGUUUGCAUUUAAGUUGAAUUACUCACACUGAAGAAGCUAAUAGUCUUGAUAAAUAAUCAUUAAUGACACAUGGCCCUAUACAUCUAUGACAAUCUCAUGACUAAGUCACUAAACUAAAACGUAGCACAGCACCCUGCUACUAAAGCCACCAUAAAAUGCUGCAGAGUAACUGUAAAACAAUGAGCCAAACAAAAUUACAAAAUGAAUUUAUUCCAAAAGUGUAAGGGAACAUUUACAAGUCAUCAAGAUGGUCAACAGGUGUCUCCACAAGAACUCACUGCAUUAAAAUUAAAUACGAAAGUGAGGGAGAAAAGCUGGCUGCUUCUGAGGCAACAAGAACUUUGCACGUCAUCUCUGGAAAACAGGAGCCCCGCGAAAACUCACUCCAAACUCAGUGAGAAAAUAAGCUGCUAGUGCCUAAAUAUCAGUCUAAAGGCAAGCAACAUUUAGGCUUGGAGAUCAUAUUUUAAAAUCCCCUCAAGACAGCAAAUGACAGCUACAGGUGCAAAAUGCCUUCCUUCUUUCCUUUAAAUAAAGCUUGUUACUAUCCAGUGACUGUUUUCAGAGUGACGUUUUGACCUCAGGAAUUUGUACUUGAAAAAUUCUUUGCCAAGUUUGUUGCUUUUAGUGACGAAUCUGAUUUCAGCAGCUGGUGUAUAUUCAGAAGUACAAGCUCCCAUGUCCUGGAAUGUCCUAAGUUUAAGCCUGCUGCUCCAGAGUUGAGCACAAAUAGACUCGCAAUUUGGUCAAUAACUCCAACUUUGACAUAAUUUUGGUAUUCUGCCCUUUUGAUUGCAGUGAUAAAUAUCGAACUGUUAAUGAAGACACCCGAGUCAGAUUCACAAACAAAUACAAAUGGAACUAGGUGGCAAAACAUCACUUUUGAGCAUUCAUAUGUGGAUAUCAAAUGAUCGCAGAAAAAAAAGGGACGAUAAGAAAAGAGCGUCAUUCUUCUAAAGCCUAAACUAUUUUACAUCAACAUGCCUUCUUAGAAAUUCUCUUCCCUGCCCCAACUUCUUUUUUUUUUUUUCUUUCCUAUCAGCUAACCCCUUUAUAAUGUUGAGUGACCUGAGAAGUAAAAAUUGCAAGUGGUGAGAAUAAAAAGCAUUGUGCUCUUACAUUGUAUUUUCUGGGUGUACACCAGUAAAUAAGAACUCCAAGUUGCUAUGAAAAAAAAACCCAAUAGCAUGGAUUUGUUCUUCCACUUGAAUCCGACUACACUGCUGGAAUUUUUCAACAUUAGCCAAAAUACAAUUUUAUUUAUAUAUUUUUAAAUGCAACUGUGUUGGUAAAAAGACAAAACAAGAACACAACCUUCGAGUGCCAACUAACCCAGAAAUCUGUAAAACACAGAAAAGAGCCAGGUACUGCUAUGGUCCGGCUCCAGUCUACAAAGCUUAAUCACUGCAUCAGUCUUUACCCAUUCCUGGAAUAUUUCUAGUGAUUUAUUGUUUCGUUUUUCCUGUUCAUUUCCUGUAAUUUCAUGGCAUAAGUAUAUGCACGUAUUCAUAUCAAACAUUUAAAAUUCCUUUUGCAAAACACCACUUUUGCAUUACAAUGCACGGAGAAGAGUAAGAAGUACAAAACAAAAGAACACCACAUUCUCCACAGUUCUAAGUGAAAGGACUCUGCUUCAUGCCACAAGCAAAAUAAAUUUCCAACCAAGUUGCAAACUUCAGAAAACCAGCAUGUCUCAGUCAAAUUCAUUGUAAGUAAAUAAAAGCAAAUCUAACAAUGGUACUCUUCUCCACAUAUUGCAAAAUGUGAUUACAGAUAAGGAAAGGAUUACUUUAGGUGCUAAGCUUAUCUGACAUAUCUCUGUAGUCAUGCCUUUCCUAUCCAUUACUUAAUACAUAAAAUCAAUUACAUAGUAUCAGUAAUGCAGUAGUUGAUUUUUAGGUUAAUAUGCAAACAAUCAAGAUGUAAGUUUUGAUAAAACAUCUACGCUCUUUUCCAAUUUUCAAUAAAUCGUGAAGACACUUCAAAAAUAAGAACCCAAAACUGCUGACUGUAAGCAUCCAAAAAUACAGUUGUAGUUUCACUAUGGACAAGUUGUAGUCCGUUAGAAAAGUAGAUCAUACAUACAAAGGUAUAAAGAACAUUUAAGUCAGUCUGAGCAGAAGGCAGUCCUUGAAGGAAACAAUAUCCAAGCAAUCUCUUGCUGAGUGUACUUUCGCUUUAGCCCACUGGGGCCAGGGAAGGAAGAUACAAUGGUCUACUCAGUAGAUUCUUCCUCGACUACGAUUGCCACGUCCUCCCCAGCCUCUUCCUCGUCCACCCCGGAAACCACCUCUUUGCUC